rnacentral:rRNA from 1 species
AGCAGCCGCGGUAAUUCCAGCUCCAAUAGCGUAUAUUAAAGUUGUUGCAGUUAAAAAGCUCGUAGUUGAAUUUCGGGGUCAGUAGGUUGGUCAUGCCACUGGUAUGUACUGGUCUCACUGAUUCCUCCUUCCUGAUGAGCCGUAAUGCCAUUAAUUUGGUGUUGCGAGGAAUCUGGACUGUUACUUUGAAAAAUUAGAGUGUUUAAAGCAGGCUAACGCUUGAAUACAUUAGCAUGGAAUAAUGAAGUAGGACGUUUGAUUCUAUUUUGUUGGUUUCUAGGAUCGACGUAAUGAUUAAUAGGGAUAGUUGGGGCAUUAGUAUUCAAUUGUCAGAGGUGAAAUUCUUGGAUUUAUUGAAGACUAACUACUGCGAAAGCAUUUGCCAAGGAUGUUUUACAUUAAUCAAGAACGAAAGCUAGGGGAUCGAAGACGAUCAGAUACCGUGUAGUCUUAAACCAUAAACUAUGCCGACUAGGAUCGGAUGAUGUUAAUUUAUAAUGAC